UCGACCAAGAAGUCAUGCCGGAUCAGAAACCAACCGUCGUAAGAUCGCUCUUCGGAAGUCAGUGUAUGUCCAGUGAACUGCCUGUGCCUGAAUCCUCAAGUUUCUUCAAGUAUCAGGAAGAAAAUCCAUCAGCAAAGUCGACAAGUACACGUCUGCCUACUAUUCCACAAAAGUCAUUUCAAUCUACUUUUAAAGAAGCUGUGACUGAACAGACUAAAAUUGAUCUGGUCAAAGAUGUAAGCGAUAGCAGAGGAGGAGACAACAAUUCUAAUACUGUGUUUGAAGACUAUGUACCCCCUGCCAAGUCAUCAAGUGGCAACUGGAAAGUACAACCAUCACCGCUCAAGUCUACUGAACCACCCAUUCACGAAGAAAACGCUACCACUUCUGAGGAAAAUCCCGUGGUUAUGCAACAGUCACCAGUAAAGAGUAUUGAAGCUUCCAGUGAGGGAAAAACAGAUAUUGUGGAGGAAGUUCCAGCCGAUGCCGAGGUUUGUAUAAAAUUCCAAGCUGUACUUAAUAAUUUUGAUAG
rnacentral:lncRNA from 1 species